rnacentral:rRNA from 1 species
UACAGAGGUCUCAAGCGUUGUUCGGAUUCAUUGGGCGUAAAGGGCGCGUAGGCGGCUUGGCAAGUGGAUGGUGAAAUCCCUCGGCUUAACCGAGGAACUGCCGUCCAAACUGCUUCGCUUGAGACCGGGAGAGGUGAGUGGAAUUCCCAGUGUAGCGGUGAAAUGCGUAGAUAUUGGGAGGAACACCAGUGGCGAAGGCGGCUCUCUGGACCGCAACUGACGCUGAGACACGAAAGCGUGGGUAGCAAACAGG